rnacentral:lncRNA from 1 species
UACAGUGCAGGCGAUUUGGUGUCACGAUAUCUCAGUAGCAUGGAUUCUAAUCACGGCGAGGGAAGAACACAAAAAUUGUGAAAGCAAAUUUACAGAUCUAACAUUGUCUAGUUGAUGUUUAGACGAGUUGUAUAUACAUAAUGUACACAGCCAUGUAUCCCCAUCACUGCUGGUGAUCCGAUGGAUAAAUCUGUUGUAGAGUUGUCACUGGCUCAGACGUACUUAUAAAUAUAAUUAUUUUCUGUGACUGUAUCUUACAUGAAUUUGUAGGAUCCUUUACUA